GCCCUCGUAGCUUAAUGGAUAGAGCGCUGGCCUCCGAAGCCGGUGAUGUGGGUUCGAUUCCCGUCGAGGGCA
rnacentral:tRNA from 1 species